UACGUAGGUGGCAAGCGUUGUCCGGAAUUAUUGGGCGUAAAGCGCGCGCAGGCGGUUAUGUAAGUCUGAUGUUAAAGCCCGGGGCUCAACCUCGGUUCGCAUUGGAAACUGCGUAACUUGAGUGCAGAAGAGGAAAGUGGUAUUCCACGUGUAGCGGUGAAAUGCGUAGAUAUGUGGAGGAACACCAGGGGCGAAGGCGACUUUCGGGGUUGUAAAUGACGAUGAGGCGCGAAAGCGUGGGGAGCAAACAGG
rnacentral:rRNA from 1 species